UUGCGGCUACAUCACGUUAAAACAUUGCUUCCUGUACGAUCACCGAAGUUAAGCAACAUCACGCCUGGUCAGUAUCUAGAUGGGUUACUGUUUGGGAAUACCAGAUGUUGUAAG